rnacentral:rRNA from 1 species
UACGGGGGGGGCAAGCGUUGUUCGGAAUUACUGGGCGUAAAGGGCUCGUAGGUGGCCAACUAAGUCAGACGUGAAAUCCCUCGGCUUAACCGGGGAACUGCGUCUGAUACUGGAUGGCUUGAGUUCGGGAGAGGGAUGUGGAAUUCCAGGUGUAGCGGUGAAAUGCGUAGAUAUCUGGAGGAACACCGGUGGCGAAGGCGGCAUCCUGGACCGAAACUGACACUGAGGCGCGAAAGCCAGGGGAGCAAACGGG